rnacentral:rRNA from 1 species
AGCGAACGCUGGCGGCAGGCUUAACACAUGCAAGUCGAACGCCUCCUUCGUGUUGAGUGUCAGACGGGUGAGUAACCCGUGGGCACAUCCCUUUUGGUUCGGACUAACUCCUGGCUACGUUAGCUAAUCCCGGAUCCGCCCUGUUUGGGACGGCUUUAUUGCCUAAAGAUUGUCUGGCGUCUGAUUAGCUAGUUGGUCAGGUACUGGCUCACCAAGGCGACGAUCAGUAGCUGGUCUGAGAGGAGGGUCAGCCACACUGGGACUGAGACACGGCGCAGAGUCCUACGGGAGGCAGCAGUGGGGAAUAUGGGAAAAUGGGCGCAAGCCUGAUCCAGCCAUGCCGCGUGAGUGAUGAAGGCCUUAGGGUUGUAAAGCUCCGUGAGCCGGGAAGAGAAUGACUGUACCGGAAGAAUAAGCCCCGGCUAACUUCGUGCCAGCAGCCGCCGUAACAC